rnacentral:lncRNA from 1 species
GAGGAGGUAAACCAGGAGAAGGGUAAAUCAAUAUUUCCAGGGCACACAGCCGUAAGAAAGGACACUGCUCACAUCUGACAGCCAUUCCAAGUAGAGGAUGUCCGUAAAGGUGGGAGCCAAGCCUCAGGGCCUUCUUUGCACAAGAAACAUCUCAGGGUACCCACCCCCUUCUUUGCCUGGAACACACCUCCUUGUCCCAGAAGACUCAACAGCUCUGGCCACCCCUCAAUCCCACCAGUGCGGGCUGUGUAUACCUCCUCUACCUUCUCGAGAGUACCGUCCAUGGCUUACCUCUGUCAUAACACUUCCCGGGCUCUGAUGACAUCUCUUUGUCACCGCCAGCACAAUGUUUCCCUCCCAGAUGGAUGGACCGUUCCCAGAGGCCUCUGGCUUCCCUCUUGCCUGCCUAAACGUGGCUGUCUUUGGCUCUGAGGCACUGUCACAUGACACAAAGGAGCACAGGUUACGGUGAGGAGCCGACCUUCAUCUGAGGAGGACUGGGGCUGUGCAGACCCUGGGUCUCUUGGCUUCCCUCCUUUAUAUCAAGCAGUCCUUCCUGAACCUCAAAGAGGAGGCGACAUCAGCCAUGGCAUCUCCAGAAGAUACAUUCCACGGCUGCGUAAAGAAGGGUUCUGAGGAUUAGGAUCAGAAAAUACAAGGAAGUUUGGUUACUUUUUCCCUUGGUGGAUGUUUUAGAAGUUUCUCCUGUACUUUCCUCGAUUUACAAAUUCAUUCCUCAAAGGCUGUGCUGGUUGUCAACCCUUUCCCACCCCAGCACCCUUGAGUGGCCCGCUUCCCAUCAGUACCCACCUCUGAGGAUGCCAGGGAACCUCUGGCUGGGGUGUAAUUAUCUCCAAGGGCACUGUUAGCUUGAUAAGGAGGAGCUUCUUCAUGCUCCUCAGAGGGAAAGCAUUUAAGAGUGUGUUUCCAAGGUUCAGCUGCUCCUCUAAUAACAAUAAUAAUUACCUUAAUGUUCUUCAAUAGGGGAUUAGUUAAACAAAUUAUGGUACAUCCAUGGUACAUGAUGCAGCCAUUAAAUUAAAUGAAGCAGAACAAUACACUGUACCUGUUUCUCCCGCAAUCCGAAGGUAGACCUUUCCUAUGAAACCUGAAACGAUGACAUUCAGUGAAGAAGCAAUUACCAUUCAUUUGUCCAAGACACCCCCGCCCCGCCCCAAAUAACCUUUUUAAGGCUAUUCUGAUACCUUAGGACACAUCUUGCUCACGGAUGCACGAAAUAAAUGAAAGCUACAGACGUUUGAGGUGGAGACA